UCUCAGUUCGGAUUGUAGUCUGCAACUCGACUACAUGAAGCUGGAAUCGCUAGUAAUCGCGAAUCAGAAUGUCGCGGUGAAUACGUUCCCGGGUCUUGUACACACCGCCCGUCACACCAUGGGAGUCAGUAACGCCCGAAGCCGGUGACCCAACCAAUUCAGGAGGGAGCCGUCGAAGGUGGGACCGAUAACUGGGGUGAAGUCGUAACAAGGUAGC
rnacentral:rRNA from 1 species